rnacentral:rRNA from 1 species
AGAAAUGGAGAGGGGGCAGCGGCGGUGAGACGGUGGUGGUGAGCGUGGGUCGGAAUGAGUUGGUGGGAAGGGCGCGUAGUCGGAUGGCACAGGCGGGCGUGAAAUUCCUGGGCUUAACCUGUGUGCUGCGUUCGAGACGUGUGGGCUGGAGUGCGGAAGAGGGUCGUGGAAUUCCCAGUGUAGAGGUGAAAUUCGUAGAUAUUGGGAAGAACACCGGUGGCGAAGGCGGCGACCUGGUCCGUGACUGACGCUGAGGCGCGAAAGCGUGGGGAGCAAACAGGAUUAGAUACCCCAGUAGUC